rnacentral:lncRNA from 1 species
CAUAAUUGUUAGGGGAUGUUGAACACAGUCCCUGCCAAUCUUUCUGAACCUUCCUUGCAGGAAGCCAAGGACAUUUGAGGAGAUACAGAAGCUUUCCCUGUUGGGUGUUGAGAGACAGCUGAGGAGGGUGAGAAGAGCAUCAGCAGACCUGUGCCUUCUAGUUCCUUCCAUUUAUUUGUGAUCUUACCUAUAUCGGCCCAUCUCUACAGGAUAACAGGUUUGUUUUUACCUUCCUCACAUUUACAGAAAAAAAAAAUUGAGGUUUGAAGCUUGGCAAGGCAAGACAAGCUGAAUCCAGGCCAUCUAAUCUCCAGGUCACUGUUUUCUGCACCUGGCUGCUGUCACCUGAGCCUCAGAGGCUAAAAGAGAAUGGACACAGACGUCAGUGUCCUGGCAGGGGGCAAGGGCUGUCAACAUCACGAUUUGUGUCACAGAGCGUCAUCUCCGAAGCUCUGCAGUUAAGAGAGGAAGCAGAGGAUCUGUCCUGCCCAGCCCUGCCCUGCAGGUGGCCCUGGCACCUGCCGCCCUGCUCACUUCCCAGGUCCUGCUCUGCGCAGGCAGCAUGCCACCUCCAUAAGACAAAUCACAUCAUUUGAUCUGAAACAAAAGGCUGCCUUGGUGUCUGAAAUGACAACUCCCAGGAGGGUGAGGUCAUGCUGUUCUUUGUCUCCAAGGACUGUGAGGAUCCAAUUUCGGUUGUGAAGAAAAUAGUCUGGGGGGAAAAAAAUUUAUUUCAUUCGGAAAAUUCCGCAAAGCCAUAAAUACAGCUUGCAGCAAAUGAACGCUCACGUUCUUCACUCCAGGGCUGACCAGGGCUUUGGGUGGAGGAAGAGCACCCCGCCCCGCCCCUCCCCUCCCAGCCCAGCCCAGCCCAGCC